AAGCCGCGCCUCGCCGGACGGCUGAGGGCGGGCGACGGGCGGCGCCGGCUGACGGGCCGCAACGCGAGGGGAGGUCCGGCGGCCCGGGGCGCCCUGCGACUGCCCGAGGCCGGAGGCCCGGAGGACCCGCCGCCGCCUUUGUGUCGCCGGCCCCCGCCCCGCUGGACUGGCCCGGGCCGGGGCGGUUGGGCCGGCGCUGAAGGGGCUUGGCCGCCCGGGUCCACCCGUUCCCGGAUCCGCCUCGCCGGCCCCCGCGCCCGCCCAACCCCUGCCCAGCCCCUCGGCUCCGCGAGUUUGGGUGAGAAGUGCGGCGGCUUUUCCCAGGGAUGGAGUUUAGAGGACGCUAAUCCUAUGUGUGAGCGGCGGACCCCGCCCGGACUUCCCGGAGGCGCCCGGUUAGUGAGGCGACGGCGCCCACCCGCGUUCGCGGGCUCCCGGCCGCCACUCCCCGGAGCCGCCGGCCCGCCCCAGCCCCGCGCGUCGCCCGGGAGGGCGGGCUGCACUCCCUCCACGUACCUGGCUGGCAGAGCGUCUCCAGGGACAAAAGGUGCCCUGGGAUCAAAGCCGAGCCCCCGCCCCCGCGGGGAUGCUGCCCUCCGGAAGGAGGGGCGCUGCCCCCAAGGUACUCUCCCCGGGCACCCAGGGGGAGGUUCCAUUUCAACCUCCGAUGAAAAACACGGCCCUCCCGGGUACUUAGGAGGGUCUGAGGGUAAGUGCCAAGAUGGAGAAAACACGCCGGCCCCUCACAGAGUAUCUCCUGAGGAAUGAGAACUAUCUAGCGGGCAAGGAGGGCUUCCUGCAUAGCAGAGGGCACCCCCUCUGAUCCCCCAAGGCCAAGGGAAAAAAAUCACUCUUCACCGGCGCCCCUGAGCCAGGACAGGCUCCAGUGCAGCCACCCACCUUAUAAUUUUCCGCGGAUGCUGCCUUGAUCAGAUGUCUGAAGAUGACUUUAAGGACUACAAGCAAAUCUCAAGGGAAAAAUUCAGACCUUGAACAACAGCCUUGAACUUUUUCAGGGUUAGACAAGUACUCCCCAGUGGAGUUUCUGCCCUUAUUUCUUCGUUCUUCUCUUAAUUCUUCCAUAUUUUAACAGAACACAGACCUGCCGAAACGACACAGGAUGGCUCUUUGCUUUUUGUUAGUUCUCCAACCUUCCAAACCCUUGGGGCACAUGCAAGCACUGUGGAAAAACUUCAUUAAACCAAGAGUCAUCUUACUCCAGAUCCCAGACUGCUUGGGAAGUUGGACAUGCAUAUUCCCAAAGAGAACAGUGUUGGAAGAAGACAGGAGAGCAGCUCGCGGGUUGGGGGUAGAGGGUAGGAAAAGAGGGCAAGAUGGAGGACUACCACUCGAGGCCAGCCUCCACUGCCUGUUAGGGCGGUAGAACCUAAGAGCCGGUCCAAGGCAACACAAAAGACAGUGAGGCUAGGUCUUUAAUUGCAGCCAACGAUCAAGAAAGCAACUCCAUCAAAUGACACUGUCUUUUUAAAAAAAAUUUUUUUUUUUUGAGACAGAGUCUCGCUCUGUCGCCCAGGCUGGAGUGCAGUGGUGCGAUCUUGGCUCACUGCAACCUCUGCCACCCGGGUUCAAGCAGUUCUCCCUGCCUCAGCCUCCUGAGUAGCCGGGAUUACAGGCACGCGCUACCAGGCCCGGCUAAUUUUUUUUUUUUUUCUUUUUUGGUAGAAUCGAGGUUUUGCCAUGUUGGCCACGUUGGUCUCGAAUUCCUGACCUCAGUUGAUCCGCCCAUCUCAGCCUCCCAAAGUGCUGGGAUUUCAAGCGUUAGCCACCGCACUCGACCAAAUGACACUGUCUUAAAUGAUUUAAUGUCUUAAAUCGGGAAAGGAGAGUAAGAGAAAGCACUCAAUGGAGUCAGAGGUGUCUUGCAGCCUAGCUCUUUCCACAGACAAGCCACAUGGGCCUAUCAUCUAACCUUUUCAAACUUCUCCAACUGCUUCUGUGAUGGAGGGAUUUGGGCUAGAGGAUCUUUUUAUUUUAUUUUAUUUUAUUUUAUUUUGGUGACAGAGUCUCACACUGUCGCCCGGGCUGAAGUGCAGUGGCACAAUCUCAGCUUGCUGCAACCUCUUUCUCCUGGGUUCAUGCGAUUCUCCCGCCUCAGCCUCCCAACUAGCUGGGAUUACAGGCGCACACCACCACACCUGGCUUAUUUUUUGUGUUUUUAGUAGAGACGGAGUUUCACUAUGUUGGCCAGACUGGUCUCGAACUCCUGACCUCGUGAUCCGCCCACCUCGGCCUCCCAAAGUGCUGUGAUUACAGGCAUGAGCCACCGCGCCUGGCCGAUGAUCCCAUUUUUCAAAGUAGGCUGGGUGCGGUAGCUCACGCCUGUAAUCCCAGCACUCUGGGAGGCUAAGGCGGGUGGAUCACUUGAGGCCAGCAGUUCGAGACCAGCCUGGCCAACAUGGUGAAACCCCGUGUCUACUAAAAAUACAAAAAUUAGCUCGGCAUAGUGGUACGUACCUGUACUUUCAGCUACUUGGGAGGUUGAGACAGGAGAAUUUUGCUUGAACCCAGGAGGCGGAGGUUGCAGUGAGCCAAGAUGGCACCACUGCACUCCAUUCUGGGUGACAGAGUGAGACCCUGUCUCAAAAAUAAUGAUAAUAAAAUAAAAGUAAUUAUUUAAGGCUGGGAGCGGUGGCUCACGCCUGUAAUCACAGCAUUUUGGGAGGCCGAGGCGGUGGAUCAUGAGGUCAGGAGGUCGAGACCAUCCUGUCUUAACACGGUGAAACCCUGUCUCUACUAAAAAUACAAAAAAAUUAGCCAGGCGUGGUGGCGGGCGCCUGUAGUCCCAGCUACUCGGGAGGCUAAGGCAGGAGAAUCGCUUGAACCCAGGAGGCGGAGGUUGCAGUGAGCCGAGAUCACACCACUGCACUCCAGCCUGGGUGACAGAGCGAGACUCCGUCUCAAAAAAAAUAAUUAUUAUUUAAAAUAAUCAUUGGGCCUGGCGCGGUGGCUCACACCUGUAAUCCUAGCACUUUGGGAGGCCAAGGCGGGUGGAUCACGAGGUCAGGAGAUUGAGAUCCAGCCUGGCCAACAUGGUGAAACCCCAUCUCUGCUAAAAAUAUUUUUUAAAUUAGCUGAGCGUGGUGGUGGGCACCUGUAAUCCCAGCUAGUCGGGAGACUGAGGCAGGAGAAUCGCUUGAACCUGGGAGUCGAAGGUUGCAGUGAGCCGAGGUCGUGCCACUGCAGUCCACCUGGCCAACACAGCAGGCCUCUCUCUAAAAUAAUAAUUAUUAUUAUUGUUAUUCUUGACAGGCCAGUGUAGAACAGGUGGGGCAUCUGUGGUAUGACAGAACUGGGUUCCAAUUCUGUCCCUUCACCUGUCCCAGGUUCCUCAUCUGAAAACUGUGACCCAGUAAACCUAAUUUCAUGAGCAGCUUUCAUUAAAAUUGAAAUAAUGUUGGAAAAUGCCUUGUAACCGUGCUUGAUAUAGAGUAGUUACUUAGCCAGUUAUUUCCUCUCUUCUUCCAAUUCCUAACAAAAUGGAAAAACGUUUGGUUGCUAGGAAAGAGCUCUAAGGGGAUUUUGUUGUUGUUUGAGACAAAGUUUGGCUCUAUCGCCCAGGAUGGAGUGCAAUGGCACAAUCUCUGCUCACUGCAACCUCCGCCAUAGACAGGAGCCAAGCAUAGUGGCGUGCACCUGUCUGUAGUUCCAGCCUCUUAGGAGGCUGAGGCAGGAGGGUUGCUUGAGGCCAGGAGUUUGAGUCUAGCUUGGGCAAUAUAUUGAAACCUUGUCUCUUAAAAAAAAAAAAAAAAGAGGCCAGGUGUAGUGGCUCACGCCUGUAAUCCCAGCACAUUGGGAGGCCGAGGCAGUGGAUCACUUGACCCCAGGAGUUGGAGACCAGCCUGGGCAACAUGCAAACUUCCGUCUUCUAGGCCGGGCGCGGUGGCUCAACACCUGUAAUACCAGCACUUUGGUAGGCCGAGGCGGGCAGAUCACGAGGUCAGGAGAUCGAGACCAUCCUGGCUAAGGUGAAACCCAGUCUCUACUAAAAAUAAAAAAAAAAUUAGCCGGGUGUGGUGGCUGGCACCUGUAGUCCCGGCUACUUGGGAGGCUGAGGCAGGAGAAUGGCAUGAACCCAGGAGGUGGAGCUUGCAGUAAGCCGAGACCGCACCACUGCACUCCAGCCCAGGCAACAGAGCUAGACGCCCUCUCAAAUAAAAGUAAAUAAAUAAAUAAAAUUAUGUCAUUAAAAAAAAAUACAGGGCCGGGCGCGGUGGCUCAUGCUUGUAAUCCCAGCACUUUGGGAGGGUGAAGCGGGUGAAUCACGAGGUCAGGAGAUGGAGAGCAUCCUGGCUAACACAGUGAAACCCCGUCUCUACUAAAAAUACAAAAAAUUAGCCGGGCAAGGCAGCGUGUGUCUGUAGUCCCAGCUGCUGGGGAGGCUGAGGCAGGAGAAUGGCAUGAACCCAGGAGGCAGAGCUUGCAGUGAGCCAAGAUCCCGCCACUGCACUCCAGCCUGGGCGACAGAGCGAGACUCGGUCUCAAAAAAUAAUAAUUAACAAAAAAAAAUACAAAAGUUAGAUGCGCAUGUUGCCAUAUGCUCGUGGUCCCAGCUACUCGGCAAGCUGAGGUUGGGAGAUCACUUGAGCCCAGAAGGUGGAGGUUGCAGUGAGCUGAGAACCCACCAUUGUACUCCAGCCUGCGUGUCAGUGAGAUUCUGUCUCAAAAAAAAGAAAAGAAAAAAAAUCUAGGCUAUGCUCCCUAGUAUGGGAAAUCUAGUCUAGUCAUUUGGCAGAAUCAGGCUUUGCGGGCCAUAUUGUCUCUGUCGUAACUACCAACUCUGCUGGUUAAAAGGGAAGUAGCCACAAACAAUGUCUGAAUGAUGGAUUAUGGCUGUGUUCCAAUAAAACUUUAUUUGCAAAAACAGGUUGCUGGUUGCAAGGUAGUUUUCCAACCUCUACGUGAUUCUCAGACUUUAGGUUGCAUCAUAAUCACCUGGAGGGCUUGUUCAAACGCAGAUUGCUGGGCCCCACCCCCAGAAUUUUUUAUUCAGCCAGUCUGGGGUGGGGCUGAUAUUUGUAUGUCUAACAACUUUCCAGGUGAGGCUGGUUGAUGAUGGUCUGGAAACCACUUUGAAAACCUCUGAAGCUUUUCUCAACUCCCUUUGUGUACCUAAAACACUUUAUCCCUACUGUAGAUGUAGUAUUUAGCGUGUUAUAUUAGUUUAGUGAUUGGUGUGUGGGUCUCUGGGAGCCUUUCUGAAUCACCUCCCUAGCCUAGUGCCUGACAAUAGCAAUUUGCUCCCCAUUCAUUGACUGAACUGAAACCAGAGGGUCAUGGUCAUCAUCAUUGUUCCAAGCCAUAGAUAGAAGAUGAAGUCACCACCCCCGAUCUCAGAGCUCAUCAGAGUAGAGCUUGGGCUGGACUAUGCCCUUCUCUGCAGUGAGCAGUUUUCUCUGUGGAGCUCUGCAACCUGGAGCCAGCCCUGCCUGGGGUAAGAGGAAAAAGGACUCCUUCCCCCCAGCCCCACAGCCUGUACGCAAACACACCAGGAGACAUGACCUGCUCAGAGGAGACCUGGAACCAAGGGAAUAAAAUGAGAGUGGGUUGGGGGCUUGGCUGUUUGUUAUUUUUUUGCUUGUAAGUGGACAAUUUGUGGUGUGGUGUGUGAAUUUGGGGUCUUAAAUCCAGAUAGCUGUCUGCUGUGGACAGCCACUGUUUCUGAAUUACAGGGCAUUUCAAGUGACCUGUGGUCAGGAUGUUUUCUCUCAGAUCAGGCAAAAUCAAUUGGUCCUGAUAAUAACCAGGGGAGUUGUACUUUCCCUAUCUUGAGUAGAAGACACAGCUCCCAGGUCCACCUGUCUCUCCUGACUGCCCACCUCCUGGCUUUUUUUUUUUUUUUGAGACGGGGUCUUGCUCCGUCGCCUAGGCUGGAGUGCAGUGGUGCGAUCUCAGCUCACUGCAACCUGGGCCUCCUGGAUUCAAGAGAUUCUCCUGCUUCAGCCUAGCAAGGAGCUGGGAUUACAGACGCGUGCCACCUCGCCCAGCUAAUUUUUUUUAUUUUUAGUAGAGACGGGGUUUCACCGUGUUAGCCAGGAUGCUCUCGAUCUCCCGACCUCGUGAUCCACCCACCUUGGCCUCCCAAAGUGCUGGGAUUACAGGCAUGAGCCACCGUGCCCGGCCAGCCUCCUGGCUUUUAUCCUGGGGGCACUGCAAGUAGAGCCAGGCAUGUGGCCCAUGCAUCCUUCCCAGCCUCUCUUUCCUGCUGGGCAUGGAGGAGGAGGCACUGCCAGGAGCUCCCCACAGACAGGCGCUGCUUACUAAUGGGUUGGCUGCAAACUGUAGGCAUAACAGUUACCUUCCUCUUCACGACCCCUAGGCCUGACGAGGCUUACACAGGAAUUUCUUUGAUUUGUGAAGUCUUAAGACUAUACUGCUGGGCGCGGUGGCUCACGCCUGUAAUCCCAGCACUUUGGGAGGCUGAGGCAGGCGGAUCACGAGGUCAGGAGAUCAAGACCAUCCUGGCUAACACGGUGAAACCCCGUCUCUACUAAAAACACAAAAAAUUAGCCGGACAUGGUGGGGGGGCGCCUGUAGUCCCAGCUACUUGGGAGGCUGAGGCAGGAGAAUGGCACGAACCCAGGAGGCAGAACUUGCAGUGAGCCGAAAUCACACCACUGCACUCUGCACUCCAGCCUAGGCGACAGAGUAAGACUCUGUCUAAAAAAAAAAAAAAAAAAAAAAAAAAAAAGACUAUACUACCUAAUCUUCCAUGCCUCGCUCUUUCCACGUUAAUAGACAAAACCAGGAAAAAGGACUGCUCCCCCUCCUGCUCUUGACUGGGCUCCAUAAGAACUGCCAAAAGGCCAGGCAGUAUUUGCUACUCUUCUGGGGUUCACUUCUGAAAGGUGCGACCCUGCAACCUAGAGCACAGGGAAGUUAGGACAGCAGAGGAGCCGGGCCGAGCCGACGCUGGCUUAGAACUCUUUCUGAUACUCCCUGUUCCCGCCAGCUCGUUAGCCCAGCCUGCCAAUCAGUUUUGCAUCAAUAAACUUUAUGUUCUGAGGUUGGCCAGAUGAAUGAGAGGAGAGCAGCUAAAGACUGAUCUCUGACCUUGGCACAUAAACAGCCUCCAGAUUGGACUUGACAGUUAAUAAAGGAAAGGCCCUGCAAUUCUCUGAUGCCUUUUUGCCUUAAUUAGAUUGAGCAUUCAAAGGCUAUGGGGAAAUCUUCCAUUUGAAGAGAAAAACCUCACAAGACAGGAAGUCACUUCACUCAUUCAUUCUUUCAGACUGUCAAUCAUUCGGUCUACAGUCACUGGCAUUUGUCAAAUGCCCUAUUACCUGUGCUCAGCACUAUGCUAACUGCUUUUGAGUCGAGUGGCUGCAAGAAUUCCAGAAGUCCAUGCCGUGCUCUUCUGGAAGACUGCACAGCCAGGCAGUCAAGAGCACAAGCUUCAGUUUAACAUAUCUGAGCUCAAAUCCUGAUUCUGCCAUGUGACUUUUGGCAAGUUACUUAAACUCUCUGCCUUUAGUUUCCUCUUGGAGUAAAUAAUACCAACCUCCACAGGCUGUCAUCAAGGCCAAAUGAGACCAUCUGUGUAAAGUGGGCAGCACAGAGCCUGGUGCUUGGCAGAUGCCUGGUGGCCAUGAACAUGACAGUGCCUGCACCUGGCUGAACUGUCAGGCCGAGAAGCUUCCCUUCCUUCCCUCUCUCCCCUCCCCCAUUCCUGGCAUGCUGCCAGUCACUGGGGAGCUGGUGAUGACUCACAAUCCCUGCCCUCAGUGAUAUUAUAAAUCUAUUGUUGGCCGAGCACUGUGGCACAACGCUUGUAAUCCCAGCACUUUGGGAGGCUGAGGCAGAAGGAUCACUUGAGGCCAGAAGUUUGAGACCAGCCUGGGCAACAUACCAAGAUCCCGUCUCUACCGAAAAUUUAAAAAUUAGCCAGGCAUGGUGGUGUGCACCUGUAGUCCUAGCUACUUGGGAGUUGGGAGGCUAAGGCAGAAGGAUCGUUUGAGCCUCGCAGUUCAGGGUUACGGCCUGGGUGAAAGAGGGAGACCCUGUCCCUUUAAAAAUAAAAAUAAAAAAAAACUAUUGGCCAGGCACUAUUGGCUCAUGCCUGUAAUACCAGGACUUUGGGAGGCUGAGGCAGGUGGAUCACUUGAGGCCUGGAGUUCAAGACCAGCCUGGCCAACAGGGUGAAACCCUGUCUCUACUAAUAAUACAAAAAAUUAGCCAGGCGUGGUGGCACAUGCCUAUAAUCCCAGCUACUCAGGAGGCUGAGGCAGGAGAAUUGCUUGAACCUGGGAGGCAGAAGUUGCAGUGAGCCGAGAUCACACUGCUGUACUCCAGCAUGGACAACAGUGGGAGACUCCCUCUCAAACGUGCACACACACACACACACACACACACACACACACACACACACCAAAAAACAGGACGGCCGGGCACAGUGGCUCAUGCCUGUAAUCCCAGCACUUUGGGAGGCCAAGGUGGGCAGAUCAUGAGGUCAGGAGUUUGAGACCAGCCUGGCCAAUAUGGUGAAACCCCGACUCUAUUAAAAAUACAAAAAUUAGCCAGGCAUCAUGGCACGUGCCAAUAGUCCCAGCUACUUGGGAGGCUGAGGCAGAAAAAUCGCUUGAACCUGGGAGGUGGGAGGUUGCAGUGAGCGGAGAUCGUGCCACUGCACUCCAGCCUGGGCAACAGAGUGAGACUCAGUCUCAAAAAAAAAAAAAAAAAAAAUUCCCUGAACCCUUUCAUGCUAUAUUUGCUCGCACAUACAGGUUUCUUCAGUGUUAACCGUGUUCAUCACAUUGAUGUGCUGUUUCACUUCAUGCUGUGUGAUGUGAACUUCGGCCAGAGCAAGGAGAAAGCAGUAUAUACUCUGAAAAGGACCCCGCACCGUGUUCACCCAAACAGCACCUCGUCAUGCAUCUCAGAGCCCUCGGCCUCUGGGCCACCUCCUCACUCCCCCAGGGGUGCUCUGAAGCCUUAAACAGUCUGCUUUUCUUUUUCUUUUCUUUCUUUCUUUCUUUUUUUUUUUUUAACAGAGUCUCGCUCUUGUUGCCCAGGCUGGAGUGCAGUGGUGUGAUCUUGGCUCACCACAACCUCUGCCUCCCG
rnacentral:lncRNA from 1 species